AGCUUAUCUAUGAUGUUCUAUAAAUAAAUGUCUGAACAUAUGACAACUAAUGAUUUCGUUUUUCUAACUGAGAUAAGCU